GACGAACGCUGGCGGCGUGCUUAACACAUGCAAGUCGAACGAUGAAGGGGUGCUUGCACCCUGGAUUAGUGGCGAACGGGUGAGUAACACGUGAGUAACCUGCCCUUCACUCUGGGAUAACUCCGGGAAACCGGUGCUAAUACUGGAUAUGACCUCAACCUGCAUGGGUAUGGGGUGGAAAGCUUUUGUGGUGGAGGAUGGACUCGCGGCCUAUCAGCUUGUUGGUGGGGUAAUGGCCUACCAAGGCGACGACGGGUAGCCGGCCUGAGAGGGUAACCGGCCACACUGGGACUGAGACACGGCCCAGACUCCUACGGGAGGCAGCAGUGGGGAAUAUUGCACAAUGGGCGAAAGCCUGAUGCAGCGACGCCGCGUGAGGGAUGACGGCCUUCGGGUUGUAAACCUCUUUCAGUAGGGACGAAGCUUUUGUGACGGUACCUACAGAAGAAGCACCGGCUAACUACGUGCCAGCCGCCGCUGUAAGAC
rnacentral:rRNA from 1 species